UACGGAGGAUGCAAGCGUUAUCCGGAUUCACUGGGCGUAAAGGGCGCGUAGGUGGUCUGUUAAGUCUGGCGUUAAAGCCUGGGGCUCAACCCCAGAUCAGCGUUGGAUACUGGCAGGCUAGACGGUUGGAGAGGCGAGUGGAAUUACCAGUGUAGCGGUGGAAUGCGUAGAUACUGGUAGGAACACCCAUUGCGAAGGCAGCUCGCUGGACAACACGUGACACUGAGGCGCGAAAGUGUGGAGAGCAAACCGGAUUAGAUA
rnacentral:rRNA from 1 species